UACGAAGGGGGCUAGCGUUGCUCGGAAUGACUGGGCGUAAAGGGCGCGUAGGCGGAACGCUUUGUCGGAUGUGAAAUCUCUGGGCUCAACCCAGAGUCUGCAUGGGAAACUGUCGGGCUUGAGUAUGGGAGAGGUGAGUGGAAUUUCCGGUGUAGCGGUGAAAUGCGUAGAUAUCGGAAGGAACACCUGUGGCGAAAGCGGCUCACUGGACCAUAACUGACGCUGAGGCGCGAAAGCUAGGGGAGCAAACAGG
rnacentral:rRNA from 1 species